GAUGAACGCUGGCGGCGUGCCUAAUACAUGCAAGUCGAGCGAACAGACGAGGAGCUUGCUCCUCUGACGUUAGCGGCGGACGGGUGAGUAACACGUGGAUAACCUACCUAUAAGACUGGGAUAACUUCGGGAAACCGGAGCUAAUACCGGAUAAUAUAUUGAACCGCAUGGUUCAAUAGUGAAAGACGGUUUUGCUGUCACUUAUAGAGGGAUCCGAGCCGCAUUAGCUAGUUGGUAAGGUAACGGCUUACCAAGGCAACGAUGCGUAGCCGACCUGAGAGGGUGAUCGGCCACACUGGAACUGAGACACGGUCCAGACUCCUACGGGAGGCAGCAGUAGGGAAUCUUCCGCAAUGGGCGAAAGCCUGACGGAGCAACGCCGCGUGAGUGAUGAAGGUCUUCGGAUCGUAAAACUCUGUUAGUAGGGAAGAACAAAUGUGUAAGUAACUAUGCACGUCUUGACGGUACCUAAUCAGAAAGCCACGGCUAACUACGUG
rnacentral:rRNA from 1 species